GACGAACGCUGGCGGCGUGCUUAACACAUGCAAGUCGAACGGAAAGGCCUGCAGCUUGCUGCGGGUACUCGAGUGGCGAACGGGUGAGUAACACGUGGGUGAUCUGCCUUGCACUUCGGGAUAAGCUUGGGAAACUGGGUCUAAUACCGGAUAGGACAGCUGUUUAGUGUCAGUUGUGGAAAGUUUUUUCGGUGCAAGAUGAGCUCGCUGCCUAUCAGCUUGUUGGUGGGGUAAUGGCCUACCAAGGCGUCGACGGGUAGCCGGCCUGGGAGGGUGUACGGCGACAUUGGGACUGAGAUACGGCCCAGACUCCUACGGGAGGCAGCAGUGGGGAAUAUUGCACAAUGGGCGGAAGCCUGAUGCAGCGACGCCGCGUGGGGGAUGAAGGCCUUCGGGUUGUAAACUCCUUUCGACAGGGACGAAGCUUUUGUGACGGUACCUGUAGAAGAAGCACCGGCUAACUACGUG
rnacentral:rRNA from 1 species